UCCAGGUGUGUAGGUAUUGGCUUCAUACUGUUCUAUUUUAUACACGCAUGUACUGGACUAGAGGUCUGAUUUCUAGGACAAUUUCUUAUUACUACUUUACACCUUUUCGUAUGAUGCAUGGAUGAGGAGCUCAUAUAAGUUUGGAGAGCAUGGAUCAUAUGAUUAGUUGCAGUGGGGCUAAGCUAAAAGAGGAUUAAUGAUGCUUAUAAUACGUAUAUACACAGCCACGCAUUUUGUGAUAUUAGUAUGUGUAGUAUAUGAUUUAUGUUUUUUAAGCUCUAAAUCUAUGUUCUUGUUUUGACCCUAUAUGAAAGAGAGCAAAACCAUCUCAAAUUAGUAUGAGCGAAAUAAAUCUAUUAAUUAAUCCAUGACUUGAUGUACUAUUUAAAAGGCAAACAAUUAAGCUACAUGUAUGUAUCAUGCACGAAAAAUAUAUCUUCUAGAUGAUUAUGUAUACCAUAUAUUUGAUAUGCGUACAUAUGCAUUUGUUAAAUCUUACAAUGGGUUUCUCUAGAAACUCUUCAACAUAAAUGAACUAGAAAUCCAGGUUGUCUGCCUCGCAUUUUAUAGUGUAAAAAUGAUAGACCAAACGGAAAAACUAGUCAUCUCUUUUGUGUUGUCUACAGAACAUUUCAAUGGAUUUUCUGUAUAUCACCAAAACAAAAUAAAUGUCCUCCUUUUAAGUGUUCAUCCCAUAUACAGGAGCCAAAAUGCCUCUUUCUACAGAAACAUAGAUACAUGCUCCUUUCUAAAUAUUCAUUGGAAUAUUUUAGUUUGAGUUUCCAGUUUUAUCGUCCCAUAGUGCCCAUCUUUUUUUUCAUCUGAGUCCAUGACAUAACAUGACCCGUUGUGAUAUGUUCAAAAUGUAUUUCACGUUCUCUAAUUACACUUACAUUACCACAGAAAGUUAUUCGAUUUUUUUGUUUUUCAUUAAUGCAUUGUGUAUUAACAGUUCAUUUAUUUGUUUGUAGGUUCAAAAGAUAAAUGGAUGAUUAUAUGGGUGUGUGGCAAAUAUGUUGAUGAUCCUGGAUGCUUUCAAUUUUAGUUAAGUUGUAGGAAUGAUGUUCCUUUGUUAAGUUUUAGUUAAGUUGUAGCGAUGUUGAGGGAUGAUUUUGGUUUUCGAUUUGUUGUCAAGAAAAUAUUUAGAUUAUGCAUCACAUUUGGAUGAUGUUCCUCCUGUAAUAUCCACUGUUGUAAUCCAACAAUUUUAUAUAAUAUAUGAUUUUCUUCCUCCCGUG
rnacentral:lncRNA from 1 species